rnacentral:lncRNA from 1 species
ACAAACUCACAGGAAGAGAGAUCUAGGGCAUGUGGAAAUGCUGAGAAUCUCUGUCAAGAUUGUGUAUGCAGUCUGCAGUUCAGUCACCUGCCUUUGGGCCACCCUCACACAAAGAGGAGUGGCUUCUUCACUCACAGCUUUGUCUAGAACAAGAGCUGAGCUGACCUAGAAAUGCCAAUCUUCUCGUCAGAGAUCCUAGAUGAAUGAAAUGAGCACAAUCCUGAUGGUUCGAGGCAAGUAGAACUCUCCCAGGGCACUGUCUAUAGCCCUGGGACACCUGAGCUCAAAUCCACCAGCUCAGGAGGGACACCAUGCCACCAAUACAGUCCUUCUGCAUGGGCUGAAGGUCAACAUUUGCAGGAUGUGUUUCAGAUUAGCAGAGGACAUUUGCAGUCCUUCUGCUGGAGUUUAACAAUGUUUGAGGGAAGUUGAACUUUUUAGGUCCGUCUGAGGGUGAGCAUUUGGAUGCGAGAUUGAGCAAAUCUUUUCCCCAUCACUUUUGCCUGGUCCUUCCCUCAGAGGUCCCUUGAACAAAGGGUUAAGAGAACAAUAAACUGUGGCUCUAAAUAGAGAAGAAAACUAAACAGGGCUUAGAAGGGGGAUAGAACAUUCCAGAUGCUGUUCCUUUUCAGGCCUACCACUGCCCUGGGUUUGGGUCGGUCUCUGGGGUUCUGAGCUGUCAUUCUCUCCAGCUCAGCUGAGAUUCUGCCUCAAGGUCAUCUUUGGGAGAAAUAGUUUUUGAUUGUGAUAUUGACUUUCCAGUCCCAACUCCCAUUGCCCAAGAGUGUGCCUCAACAUGCUACUCCCUGGACCCCAGCUCUAACUGCCCCGAACCAGUAGAAAUGCAGGCCUUUGUCAUGUGCUAUGCAGCUACUGGGUAGUAGAGACUAUGCACUGCCAGGCAUUGUACAACCCUUGACCUCCUUUACCUCAUUUGUCCUCACAGAAGAAGGCUGUGACCAAGCCACCAUCUCCUCGUCAUCUUACCACCAAUCUCAUUGCAGCUCCAUCAUCUCCCUCGUCCUUCUAACCGUCAACUUUUAGUCUUGGCAUGGCACACAUCUUGUGACUUUCUGGCAGUGGGUCACUAUAUUUGCUCAUUUGUCCUCCCACUCACCCCAUGUUUAUUUAGAAAAUCCUGGCAUACCCGCUAUCUGUUGAAGGUGAACAAGAUGUGUUCCCACCACAGAGAGAGAGAGUUGAUCUUCCAAAAGUGAUUGCUGAGUGAGGUGAUAUCUCAUUUUGAAACAAACUCCUCUUGGUCCUUCCAAUCUCAGACUCUAGAGAGUACGAAGUCUAUCUAUCCCUUAGUACUUGUCUUGGUGAGGGUACACAGCUAUGAUUCUGGGUGCUUGGCCCAGUGAUUGUUUUAGUGGAGGAACCAAGCUGUAGUUAACCCUGAAGAACCACAGACAUCAGCAUCAUUCAUCAUGAGCUCUGGGUAUUCAUUCACUUUUGUCAGUGCCCUCUACAGGUUUCAGACCCUGUUCUGAGAGGUGGAGCCACAGAUAUAUAUAUAUAUAUAUAUAUAUAUAUAUAUAUAUAUAUAUAUCCACAUAUUCACACACCCCUCAAGAAAACCAUAAGAUUAGAUGGGGAGUUAAGGUCAUAACAAGCGUGCCUCUACAGAGGAUCUCGGUUGAGGCAAUUGCAGACAGGGAAGAAUGCCCAGAGAAGGUGGCAUUGAGCUAAGCCCUUACAAGAGUGAGAUUUGGCCUCUUUCCCCCUGAAUAAAGGCAUUGCAGUGAGGGAGGUUGAACUUGGAGGGAACACAAAUGUAUUCAGAUAACAUCAGUAACUGGCAAGGUGAAGCAGGUAAGCCUUAUUACUGUGGACGGAUUUCUUCCUUCCUACCACAGUUCCUCCUGAAUGAAAAACAGUUCUGCUAUGCUGAAACCUGCUCUAGCCCCUAAGAAAACACAGGACAGGAGCACCUUCUGCGGAGUAGAGUCCUGCCCAGACAGUUACAUGGAGCUGUUGAUCCUUCAGCUCCCUGGCCUCAAGUGCACACACAGACCCACUAUGUAGGGGCCACUGUGCUUCUCUGCCGUGAGCUGGGAAGAUGUAGCAUGUGCGGAGGCUCCCAGGCCACCCAUCAUUUUCUAGAAGAUGUAGAUACUGAAGGCAGCUGCCUGGCUCCAUCAGGGCGAGGAGGCUAGCGAGGCAGAUUAGUCAUUCACAUCAUUUUCUGUUGAGUCAACAUCUAUAUUUAGGUAUAGAACUCAUAAAGGGACCUAGUGUCCCUGUUAUAGGAAGGGGGGCUGCGCCAUGAGCAAAGGGUCUGCCCAUCCUUCAUCUUCUCUCUGAACUUAUUUUCUUUGCCUGAAGAUGUCACAAACAAGGCCAGCGUUGCUGCUCAACGUUAGCUCUUAAUGUCAAAAUCGUGUGCCCAUACGUUUAUGUGUACCCAUAAUCACACAUGCACGGCCACGCAUGCAUUAUCACCCUAAUGGAUUUAGUGGGUCUUCUGGAUCUGUGGUAUAGAUUAAAUAAAACUGCCAGCUGAGAAAUGCUAAGGCAUCUAGGUCCCUUCCUGUCCACCGUUGUCAGAUGUACUCUGAAAUGACUGCUUUCAUCAUCCAUUCUGAGCCAUAACCGCCCCAGAAAUAGCUUUAGCAGGAAAGUGCUUUUGUUAGACUAGCUGUAAAUUAUAUUUCAAAUGUCUGAUGUUGUUUUCUUUAAAAAAUAAAUAAAUAAGUAAAUGAAAGUCU